rnacentral:rRNA from 1 species
CCCGGGUCUUGUACACACCGCCCGUCACACCAUGGGAGUGGGUUUCACCAGAAGUAGGUAGUCUAACCGCAAGGGGGGCGCUUACCACGGUGGGAUUCAUGACUGGGGUG